ACUUACAGAGCUCACGGCCGGAU
rnacentral:piRNA from 1 species